CCUACGGGUGGCAGCAGUGAGGAAUAUUGGUCAAUGGCCGGAAGGCUGAACCAGCCAAGCCGCGUGAAGGACGAAGGUGCCAUGCAUUGUAAACUUCUUUUGUCAAGGGACAAAAUCAGGCUCGAGAGCCUGACCGAGGGUACUUGAAGACAAAGCAUCGGCUAACUCCGUGCCAGCAGCCGCGGUAAUACGGGGGAUGCGAGCGUUAUCCGGAUUUAUGGGGUUUAAGGGGUGGGUCGGGGGGCUGUUAAGUCAGCGGUAAAAGCCCGGGGCUCAACCCCGGAGAGCCGUUGAAACUGGCUGUCUGGAGAGGUCGAGAGGUAGGCGGAAUGCGCAGUGUAGCGGUGAAAUGCUUAGAUAUUGCGCAGAACUCCGAUGGCGAAGGCAGCAUACCGGCGGCGAUCUGACGCUGAGGCACGAAAGCGUGGGUAUCGAACAGGAUUAGAUACCCCAGUAGUC
rnacentral:rRNA from 1 species